UACCUCUUUUUUUUUUUUUUGCAAAUUGCAAUUGAGUUCUAAAAUCUCGAGAUUAACUGCUAUUUUAUGUGAUGGUAGUAUAUAAAUGAGGAAAAUUUCAGUUUCACCUCCAAGCCAUUCCAGCGAGCAUGUUUCGGGUGUUUUUAUUCAACGUAAAUGGGAGAUAUUUGUAGCAUAGCUUUUAAAUUUUCGUACGACAUAACGUUAAUAAGCAUAUUCGCGAACAAUUCACAACUUUCAGCUGAAAUUGUUCUUAAGGGAGCCCUUUCUUUUCAUAAGAAAUUGCUGCGCUCUUUCUGUUCGACGAAAUGCUUGAGUGAAAACUUGUAAGACUUCUGUGAGUUUAUGAUAAAUAUGAAUAAAAAUCCAAUACCGAUUGUUUUAUCUUCUUUUUUUUAUGAAGGAAUUACUACUUAUGGAAGAAAUUUUGAUAAUUUCAACCGAGAACUCCUCGAUUUCUUAGGACAGGCUGGUAAACCUAAUACUUCGAUCAAAUUCAGCGAACACAAAAUGUGCAUUAGUGGGUGCAUCCCGGGCUAGCUGGUGGCCAACAUGCAGGACAAUUUCCACUCUGAAGAGAGAUUUGGUAUUGUCUUUAAGACAUGUUUGCAUGUGAUGAUAUCUCUGUCUUGGAGAAAAUUGGUAUCUGGAAUAUCAUCAUUAGGAGUAAAUGGACACAACAAGCCCCAAGGACUCUGUGAGAAAUCAAUUUACUCCUCUAAGACCGGCACCAUCGGACACAAAUGAGGUGCAAGACUCAAAUAUAAGAGGGGUUGUUGGUUUUUAUAUAACAUCUCAAAUACGACUGAUCGACUCACGUGUGUGGGAUGUACAUACAUAUACAGGGCUUGUCAAGGACAAUGUUACCCUGUGAUAAAAUAUAACACAGCGGGGUACUAAAGACCAGCUUCGAAUGCUCGAGAUCUCUAAGAACACGACCCGGCGUAAAGUCUUCUCUUUUCUUUGUAGAUAUGGAGUUGGCUUCCUACUAUUUCUUUCUUUCUUUAUUUGUUUGUUUAAAAGAAACAUAUAUAUACACUGCUCCCUUUUCCCAGCUACCUCUAUGAAAUCAUGUAUGCUCCUUUAAUUACUUCAACUACCCUCAUCACUGUGACAUUGUCAGAACAGUUGUGAUGUGUGCCCUUGCUUCCUUCCA